CAGGGUUUUUGUUUUGUACUCUCCGGAAAGAAAGAAAGUUGCAGAAGAAUUUGAAGAAAUUAUUACAACGGGAAUUAUAAAUUUCUCUUGAUCCUAGGAGAAGUUUAUGGAUGUAGGUUUUUGCCGCCAUUAAAAUCUUUGCUAAAUCUCGCAGAAGAGCUCAUUGAUUCUCAAAGAGUUUGGAGCAUAAAAAGAAGCAUGUCUUCACCACCAGUGCAACGAAAAGAAAGGUCGGCAACCUCGGCACCACCAAGUACAGAUACAAAGCCUAAGAAGAGAAUAUGUUGUGCCUGCCCAGAGACUAAGAAGCUGAGAGAUGAAUGCAUCGUGCAGCAUGGUGAAGAUGCAUGCGCCAAGUGGAUUGAAGCUCAUAAAAUUUGUCUUCGUUCCGAGGGUUUUAAUGUUUGAAAAUGAAGAAUUAAAACACAUACAAAAUCAUCUGAUGAAAAACUUGGAUUAGUAGAAUUUUUAUUUCUUCAAAGUUGGGUUAGUAUGCCAUAUCUUGCUUUUGCUGCUGUCGUACGAACAAGGUACUGACUUGCCUAUACACACAUUGAAUCUGAUCUUACCGGAACUUUUGGAAACCCAAUUGAACAGCCCAGUUUACCCUUGUACUAUGGCUAGAUUAGCCAUUAACCGAAGGUCCUUUACUGUUCGACUUGAAUUAAGAUUUUAUAAAUAUUCAAAUAUUGAUUACAGAACUCAGUAAUAAAAGAGAAUGUUAAUUGUAAA